UAUGUGAUCGUCUCUCGCAUAUCAAUAAGCGGAGGAAAAGAAACUAACAAGGAUUCCCCUGGUAACGGCGAGUGAAGCGGGAAGAGCUCAAAUUUGAAAUCUUAAAGGGUUUCCCUUUACGAAUUGUAGUUUAAAGAAGUGUUUUCUGUUGAGGUUUUGGUAAAAGUUCUUUGGAAUAGGACAUCAUAGAGGGUGAGAAUCCCGUAUUUGACCUUUACUUUCAACUUUGUGAUACACUUUCAAAGAGUCGGAUUGUUUGGGAAUGCAGUCCAAAAUGGGUGGUAAAUUUCAUCUAAAGCUAAAUAUUGGCGAGAGACCGAUAGCGAACAAGUACCGUGAGGGAAAGAUGAAAAGAACUUUGAAAAGAGAGUUAAACAGUACGUGAAAUUGUCAAAAGGGAAGCGUUUGACACCAGUGUUGUUUUUCUGAAAAUCAAUUAAAGAACUGUUUAUGCUAAGUUGUUUAGACUUUAUCAGCUAUCUGUUUAGUUUUGAGCUUUUCUUUAAUGCACUUUUCAGUUAACAAGUCAACAUCAAUUUCUUUUGCUGUAAAAAAGCUUGAGGAAGGUGGCUUGAGAUUCGUCUUAAGUGUUUAUAGCCUCUUGCCUAUGCAGUCGGAGAGAUUGAGGUCUGCAGCGUAGAUCCUUCGGGGCUAAAUGCAUUUGUGCUAAGUUAUAGCAUUUUAUAGACAACUUGUUGACUAUGAUUUGUCUUGUAGCUUACUCGCUUAUGUUAUUUUACCUACGCUUAGGAUGUUGAUAUGCAUGACUGAUAU
rnacentral:rRNA from 1 species